rnacentral:rRNA from 1 species
CCCGAAACCAAGUGAUCUACCCAUGGCCAGGAUGAAGGUGCCGUAACAGGUACUGGAGGUCCGAACCGACUAGUGUUGCAAAACUAGCGGAUGAGCUGUGGAUAGGGGCGAAAGGCUAAACAAACUUGGAAAUAGCUGGUUCUCUCCGAAAACUAUUUAGGUAGUGCCUCAAGUAUUACCGUCGGGGGUAGAGCACUGUUUAGGCUAGGGGGUCAUGGCGACUUACCAAACCUAUGCAAACUCCGAAUACCGAUGAGUACAGCUUGGGAGACAGAGCACCGGGUGCUAACGUCCGGACUCAAGAGGGAAACAACCCAGACCGCCAGCUAAGGUCCCUAAAAUUGGCUAAGUGGGAACGAAGUGGGAAGGCUAAAACAGUCAGGAUGUUGGCUUAGAAGCAGCCAUCAUUUAAAGAAAGCGUAAUAGCUCACUGAUCGAGU